GUUUAUUCAGUUGACAGUUACCUCAUAAUUGCACUUUUCUGGACCGUCGCGACACUUUUUUGAGCUCCAGGUCUUCAGCUGAUUCACCAGAUCACCGACGGGUCCAGAACAAGGCAGCCUGAAGGAUCUACGGCGGAAGAAGCGAAAAGCAGCAGCUGCAGAAAGCCAGCAGCGACCAGCAGAGCUCUGGCGGUCAUCGUGGUCCAGCCAGUGAGAGGUCUUCACGCAGAGAGGAUCUCUGCUUUUGUCCACAUCUCUUCAUCGCUUUUGAGGAGGAAGUUGUUUCAGUGAAAACACAUGACAAACGGCUAAAGAUGCAUAAAUAUGUUAUUGAAGAGCGGAAGAAACGCAUGGAGGAGUCAAGACAAAUAAAACAAAGACAUCAUACAUUGUAUGACCCCCAACAUAAA